rnacentral:rRNA from 1 species
ACCCGCACAAGCGGUGGAUGAUGUGGUUAAUUCGAUGCAACGCGAAAACCUUACCACCUUUGACAUGUACGGAAUCCUUUAGAGAUAGAGGAGUGCUCGAAAGAGAGCCGUAACACAGGUGCUGCAUGGCUGUCGUCAGCUCGUGUCGUGAGAUGUUGGGUUAAGUCCCGCAACGAGCGCAACCCUUGUCAUUAGUUGCUACAUUCAGUUGGGCACUCUAAUGAGACUGCCGGUGACAAACCGGAGGAAGGUGGGGAUGACGUCAAGUCCUCAUGGCCCUUAUAGGUGGGGCUACACACGUCAUACAAUGGAUGGUACAAAGGGUCGCCAACCCGCGAGGGGGAGCCAAUCCCAUAAAGCCAUUCGUAGUCCGGAUCGCAGUCUGCAACUCGACUGCGUGAAGUCGGAAUCGCUAGUAAUCGUGGAUCAGAAUGUCACGGUGAAUACGUUCCCGGGUCUU